AGCAGCCGCGGUAAUUCCAGCUCCAAUAGCGUAUAUUAAAGUUGUUGCAGUUAAAAAGCUCGUAGUUGAAUUUCGGGGUUAGCAGGUCGGUCGUGCCAUCGGUAUGAACUGGUCUCGCUGAUCCCUCCCUCUUGACGAACUGUGAUGCCAUUAAUUUGGUGUCGCAGGGAAUCAGGACUGUUACUUUGAAAAAAUUAGAGUGUUUAAAGCAGGCUCACGCUUGAAUACAUUAGCAUGGAAUAAUGAAAUAGGACGUUUGAUCCUAUUUUGUUGGUUUCUAGGAUUGACGUAAUGAUUAAUAGGGAUAGUUGGGGGCAUUAGUAUUCAAUUGUCAGAGGUGAAAUUCUUGGAUUUAUUGAAGACUAACUACUGCGAAAGCAUUUGCCAAGGAUGUUUUCAUUAAUCAAGAACGAAAGUUAGGGGAUCGAAGACGAUCAGAUACCGUCGUAGUCUUAACCAUAAACUAUGCCGACUAGGGAUCGGAUGAUGUUAAUUUUUUAAUGACUCAUUC
rnacentral:sRNA from 1 species